rnacentral:rRNA from 1 species
GAAAGAUGGCUUUGGCUAUCACUCUGGGAUGGACCUGCGGUGCAUUAGCUAGUUGGUAAGGUAACGGCUUACCAAGGCGAUGAUGCAUAGCCGAGUUGAGAGACUGAUCGGCCACAAUGGAACUGAGACACGGUCCAUACUCCUACGGGAGGCAGCAGUAGGGAAUCUUCCACAAUGGGCGCAAGCCUGAUGGAGCAACACCGCGUGAGUGAAGAAGGGUUUCGGCUCGUAAAGCUCUGUUGUUGGAGAAGAACGUGCGUGAGAGUAACUGUUCACGCAGUGACGGUAUCCAACCAGAAAGUCACGGCUAACUACGUGCCAGCAGCCGCGGUAAUACGUAGGUGGCAAGCGUUAUCCGGAUUUAUUGGGCGUAAAGCGAGCGCAGGCGGUUGCUUAGGUCUGAUGUGAAAGCCUUCGGCUUAACCGAAGAAGUGCAUCGGAAACCGGGCGACUUGAGUGCAGAAGAGGACAGUGGAACUCCAUGUGUAGCGGUGGAAUGCGUAGAUAUAUGGAAGAACAUCAGUGGCGAAGGCGGCUGUCUGGUCUGCAACUGACGCUGAGGCUCGAAAGCAUGGGUAGCGAACAGGAUUAGAUACCCUGGUAGUCCAUGCCGUAAACGAUGAGUGCUAGGUGUUGGAGGGUUUCCGCCCUUCA